rnacentral:lncRNA from 1 species
CCUUUCGAACAAAGAGCUACAGUCAGUCUUCAAAAUAAUUAGCCAGCCAGGCCUAACCAAUCAUAGUAAUCUACAUAUUUUGAUAGCAUUGGUGAGGAAUUAAAGGCGGCAUUUAUUAUAAAGGUUUACACUAUAUUUGGUUGGGGUUAUGAGAGGGUAUAUGGAUAAAGCUGGAAGGAUGGAUGGUUUUCAUCCACUGUUUGAUUC